rnacentral:rRNA from 1 species
CGGGGUGAGUAACGCGUGGGCAACCUGCCCCAUACCGGGGGAUAACAGCCGGAAACGGCUGCUAAUACCGCAUAAGCGCACAGCGCCGCAUGGCGCAGUGUGAAAAACUCCGGUGGUAUGGGAUGGGCCCGCGUCUGAUUAGCCAGUUGGCGGGGCAGCGGCCCACCAAAGCGACGAUCAGUAGCCGACCUGAGAGGGUGACCGGCCACAUUGGGACUGAGACACGGCCCAAACUCCUACGGGAGGCAGCAG